AGAGUUUGAUCCUGGCUCAGAUUGAACGCUGGCGGAAUGCUUUACACAUGCAAGUCGAACGGCAGCACGGGUGCUUGCACCUGGUGGCGAGUGGCGAACGGGUGAGUAAUGCGUCGGAACGUACCGAGUAAUGGGGGAUAACGCAGCGAAAGUUGUGCUAAUACCGCAUACGCCCUGAGGGGGAAAGUGGGGGAUCGUAAGACCUCACGUUAUUCGAGCGGCCGACGUCUGAUUAGCUAGUUGGUGAGGUAAUGGCUCACCAAGGCGACGAUCAGUAGCGGGUCUGAGAGGAUGAUCCGCCACACUGGGACUGAGACACGGCCCAGACUCCUACGGGAGGCAGCAGUGGGGAAUUUUGGACAAUGGGGUCAACCCUGAUCCAGCCAUUCCGCGUGAGUGAAGAAGGCCUUCGGGUUGUAAAGCUCUUUCAGCAGGAACGAAACGGUACGCUCUAACAUAGUGUGCUAAUGACGGUACCUGCAGAAGAAGCACCGGCUAACUACGUGCCAGCAGCCGCGGUAAUACGUAAGGUGCGAGCGUUAAUCGGAAUUACUGGGCGUAAAGCGUGCGCAGGCGGAUUGUUAAGCAAGAUGUGAAAUCCCCGGGCUUAACCUGGGAAUGGCAUUUUGAACUGGCAGUCUAGAGUGUGUCAGAGGGGGGUGGAAUUCCACGUGUAGCAGUGAAAUGCGUAGAGAUGUGGAGGAACACCGAUGGCGAAGGCGGCUUCCUGGACCAAUACUGACGCUCAGGUGCGAAAGCGUGGGGAGCAAACA
rnacentral:rRNA from 1 species